CGAAGGUGUCGAACGUUGUCCGGAAUAACUGGGCGUAAAGGGCGCGUAGGCGGUCGGGUAAGUGAGAUGUGAAAGCUCUGGGCUCAACCCAGGAAUUGCAUUUCAUACUGCUCGACUUGAGUUCGGUAGAGGAGGGCGGAAUUCCAGGUGUAGCGGUGAAAUGCGUAGAUAUCUGGAGGAACACCCGUGGCGAAGGCGGCUCUCUGGUCCGAUACUGACGCUGAGGCGCGAAAGCUAGGGUAGCAAACAGGAUUAGAUACCCUGGUAGUCCUAGCUGUAAACGGUGAGUACUAGGUGUUGGAGGUAUUGACCCCUUCAGUGCCGAAGCUAACGCAUUAAGUACUCCGCCUGGGAACUACGGCCGCAAGGCUG
rnacentral:rRNA from 1 species